rnacentral:rRNA from 1 species
CACUGCCGAGAAAAGCCUCUAGAUAGAAAAUAGGUGCCCGUACCGCAAACCGACACAGGUAGUCAAGAUGAGAAUUCUAAGGUGAGCGAGCGAACUCUCGUUAAGGAACUCGGCAAAAUGACCCCGUAACUUCGGGAGAAGGGGUGCUCUUUAGGGUUAACGCCCAGAAGAGCCGCAGUGAAUAGGCCCAAGCGACUGUUUAUCAAAAACACAGGUCUCUGCUAAACCGUAAGGUGAUGUAUAGGGGCUGACGCCUGCCCGGUGCUGGAAGGUUAAGAGGAGUGGUUAGCUUCUGCGAAGCUACGAAUCGAAGCCCCAGUAAACGGCGGCCGUAACUAUAACGGUCCUAAGGUAGCGAAAUUCCUUGUCGGGUAAGUUCCGACCCGCACGAAAGGCGUAACGAUUUGGGCACUGUCUCAACGAGAGACUCGGUGAAAUCAUAGUACCUGUGAAGAUGCAGGUUACCCGCGACAGGACGGAAAGACCCCGUGGAGCUUUACUGUAGCCUGAUAUUGAAAUUCGGCACAGCUUGUACAGGAUAGGUAGGAGCCUUUGAAACGUGAGCGCUAGCUUACGUGGAGGCGCUGGUGGGAUACUACCCUAGCUGUGUUGGCUUUCUAACCCGCACCACUUAUCGUGGUGGGAGACAGUGUCAGGCGGGCAGUUUGACUGGGGCGGUCGCCUCCUAAAAGGUAACGGAGGCGCUCAAAGGUUCCCUCAGAAUGGUUGGAAAUCAUUCAUAGAGUGUAAAGGCAUAAGGGAGCUUGACUGCGAGACCUACAAGUCGAGCAGGGUCGAAAGACGGACUUAGUGAUCCGGUGGUUCCGCAUGGAAGGGCCAUCGCUCAACGGAUAAAAGCUACCCCGGGGAUAACAGGCUUAUCUCCCCCAAGAGUUCACAUCGACGGGGAGGUUUGGCACCUCGAUGUCGGCUCAUCGCAUCCUGGGGCUGUAGUCGGUCCCAAGGGUUGGGCUGUUCGCCCAUUAAAGCGGUA